GAAGUAGAUCAAAAGAUAAUUCAGGUUACACCAUUUUGAUCUGUGAAAGAGCAAAGCUUUCAGAUCAAUCUUGUAAGAAGAUAUAGUCCUUGAGAUCCACCGAUUCACAUGGAUGCUAUGUUACAAAGCCGAGAUAGACCAAGGGUGACCCUCGUGCUCUCUGCUACAAUUACAGUCGAAGAUGUAAUCUGACCUUGCCGGGUCG